rnacentral:rRNA from 1 species
UACGAAGGGGGCUAGCGUGGCUCGGAAUCACUGGGCGUAAAGCGCACGUAGGCGGAUUGCUAAGUCAGGGGUGAAAUCCUGGAGCUCAACUCCAGAACUGCCCUUGAUACUGGCGGUCUCGAGUCCGGGAGAGGUGAGUGGAACUGCGAGUGUAGAGGUGAAAUUCGUAGAUAUUCGCAAGAACACCAGUGGCGAAGGCGGCUCACUGGCCCGGUACUGACGCUGAGGUGCGAAAGCGUGGGGAGCAAACAGG